GACGAACGCUGGCGGCGUGCUUAACACAUGCAAGUCGAACGGAAAGGCCCUGCUUUUGUGGGGUGCUCGAGUGGCGAACGGGUGAGUAACACGUGAGUAACCUGCCCUUGACUUUGGGAUAACUUCAGGAAACUGGGGCUAAUACCGGAUAGGAGCUCCUGCUGCAUGGUGGGGGUUGGAAAGUUUCGGCGGUUGGGGAUGGACUCGCGGCUUAUCAGCUUGUUGGUGGGGUAGUGGCUUACCAAGGCUUUGACGGGUAGCCGGCCUGGGAGGGUGACCGGCCACAUGGGGACUGAGAGACGGCCCAGACUCCUACGGGAGGCAGCAGUGGGGAAUAUUGCACAAUGGGCGGAAGCCUGAUGCAGCAACGCUGCGUGCGGGAUGACGGCCUUCGGGUUGUAAACCGCUGUCGCCUGUGACGAAGCGUGCGUGACGGUAAUGGGUAAAGAAGCACCGGCUAACUACGUG
rnacentral:rRNA from 1 species